UGCGGAGAAGCUCAGGCGGUGCGAGCAGCGCUCUCAUAAAGCGAAGGCCGCGGGUUCGAAUCCCGCCUCCGCAA
rnacentral:tRNA from 1 species